rnacentral:rRNA from 1 species
AUUGAACGCUGGCGGCAGGCCUAACACAUGCAAGUCGAGCGGAGCGGCGGACGGGCGAGUAAUGCCUAGGAAUCUGCCUGGUAGUGGGGGAUAACGUCCGGAAACGGGCGCUAAUACCGCAUACUAUCAGAUGAGCCUAGGUCGGAUUAGCUAGUUGGUGGGGUAAAGGCCUACCAAGGCGACGAUCCGUAACUGGUCUGAGAGGAUGAUCAGUCAGACUGGAACUGAGACCCGGUCCAGACUGCUACGGGAGGGAGGAGUGGGGAAUAUUGGACAAUGGGCGAAAGCCUGAUCCGACCAUGCCGCGUGUGUGGAGAAGGUAUUCGGAUUGUAAAGCUCUUUAAGUUGGGAGGCGUUACCAACAGAAUAAGCACCGGCUAACUUCGUGCCAGCCGCCGCGGUAAUUC